rnacentral:sRNA from 12 species
CCUUUGGAGUGCGAUAUCAAACAUUAGUAGCUCGAACGAAAGUAAGGGCGAGGACGCGCACGUUGAAAAAGGAA